GUUUAUAUGCUAUCUGUAUAUCUUUUUUUAGUAAGGUGUCUGUUCAAAUCUUUUGCCCAUUUUUAACUGGGUUGUGUGAUAGAAUAAUCGUUCUCCCCCAAGAGGUCCGUAUCCAAAUCCUUGGAACUAUGUUACAUUAAAUGGCAAAAGGGACUUUUUUGAUAUCGUGAAGAAUCUUGAGAUGGGAAGAUUAACGUGGAUUAUCUGGGUGGGCCCAAUGUAAUCACAAGGGACCUUCAAAGAGAGAGAAAGGAGAAUCAGGGUCUGAGAAGGAGAUGUGAUGAUGGAAGCAAGGGUGAGAGUGACCUGGGAGCAGGAUCAGUCUCUAGAAAGAGGAAAAGAUGAGGAAACAGAUUCUCCCCUGGAGCCUCCGAAGGAAUGCAUCCCUGCUGCCGUCUUUGGACUGACGUCUUCCAGAACCGUAAGAUAAUACAUGGUUCCGCUUAAGCCGCUAAGUUUGAGGCGAUUGGUUACCAAAGAGCAGAAGCGGAGAAGUAAGGUGUUUGCUCCUCCCACUGCUUCUCCCCUCUCAGCAUCUCUUACAACGGAGGAUGCCAAGCCCAACACCUGGUGUGAGAAGCAGCAGCAGUCGGCGCUUAUCUGCAUCCUGGACUCACGAAGUUACCUGGAGUGGCUGAGUUCAAUAACCUUGUUAGAAUUCUUUCUAUUAUGCACCUGGAAAUAGUGUUAUGGAACCAAGUGUCAAAUCUAAGAACACCGAAUGAUUGGAAUAUUCAAAGGUGAGCCAGGGAAUAUC
rnacentral:lncRNA from 1 species